GACGAACGCUGGCGGCGUGCUUAACACAUGCAAGUCGAACGGAAAGGCCCUGCUUUUGUGGGGUGCUCGAGUGGCGAACGGGGGAGUAACACGUGGGUAACCUGCCCUUGACGUUGGGAUAACUUCAUGAAACUUGGGCUAAUACCGGAUAGGAGCUCCUGCUGCAUGGUGGGGGUGGGAAAGUUUCGGCGGUUGGGGGAGGACUCGCGGGCUAUCGGCUUGUUGGUGGGGUAGUGGCUUACCAAGGACUUGCCGGGUAGACGGCCUGAGAGGGUGAACGGCCAGAUAGGGACGGAGAGACGCACCAGCCAGCCACGUGCGGCAGGCGGGGGGAAGGAUGCUCAAUGGGCGGGAGAAUGCUGGAGCAAGGCAGGGCGCGGGAGGACGGAAGUCGGGUGGGAAGCAGAUUUCGCUUGGGACGAAGCGUGAGUGCCGGUACUGGGGAAGGAAGCACGGGCUAACUACGU
rnacentral:rRNA from 1 species